rnacentral:tRNA from 1 species
ACAUUGGUGGUUCAGUGGUAGAAUUCUUGCCUUCUAUGCAGGAGACCCAGGUUUGAUCCCAGCCAAUGUA